AAGUUGUUGCGGUUAAAAGCUCGUAGUUCGAGCUCAGUUCCGGACUGGCCGGGGAGGUCACCGCCCGGUGCUUCCCCGUCAGGCUCCGAACAGCCUUCGUUAGCGGAGGCCAAGCCGGUUCUGCCGGGGUGCUCUUUACCGAGUGUCCCGCGCGGCCGGCCAGUUCACCUUGAAUAAAUGAGAGUGCUCAAAGCAGGCUACUCUCGAAUACAAUGCCCGAAUGUUACCUGCAUGGAAUGAUGGAAGAUGAUCUCGGUUCCAUUUUAUUGGUGGUGGGAGCCCGAGGUAAUGAUAAACAGGGACUGUCGGGGGCAUCCGUACUACGACGCGAGAGGUGAAAUUCAGUGACCGUCGUAGGACGAACAACAGCGAAAGCAUUUGCCAAGAAUGUCUUCGUUGAUCAAGAACGAAAGUUAGAGGAUCGAAGGCGAUCAGAUACCGCCCUAGUUCUAACCCUAAACGAUGCUGACUAGCAAUUCGCCGUCGUUAUUCCCAUGACGUGGCGAGACGCCCCCGGGAAACCUCAAGUCUUUGAGUUCCGGGGGUAGUAUGGUUGCAAAACUGAAACUUAAAGGAAUUGACGGAAGGGCACCACCAGGAGUGGAGCCUGCGGCUUAAUUUGACUCAACACGGGAAACCUCACCAGGCCCGGACACCAGAAGGAUUGACAGAUUAAGAGCUCUUUCUCGAUUUGGUGGGUGGUGGUGCAUGGCCGUUCUUAGUUGGUGGAGUGAUUUGUCUGGUUAAUUCCGGUAACGAACGAGACUCUGGCCUACUAAAUAGUCGACGGGCGUUUUGGUGCAUGGGCCCCGUUCGACACAGUCUUCUUAGAGGGAUGAGCAGCGAGUAUAGCUGCAGGAGAUUGAGCAAUAACAGGUCUGUGAUGCCCUUAGAUGUCCUGGGCCGCACGCGCGCUACACUGAAUGGGUUAGCGGGUUGUCCUUCUCCGAGAGGAGCGGGAAAUCGCUUGAAAACCAUUCGUGAUAGGGAUUGGGGCUUGCAAUUGUUUCCCAUGAACGAGGAAUUCCCAGUAAGCGCAAGUCAUCAGCUUGCGUUGAUUAAGUCCCUGCCCUUUGUACACACCGCCCGUCGCUACUACCGAUUGAAUGAUUUAGUGAGGCCUUCGGACUGGCGGUCUUGGACUGGGGCGCCGGUGUCUCCAGCAAUGGGGCCCGGCGACCCGCCUAGACGGGCCGGAAAGAUGUCCAAACUUGAUCAUUUAGAGGAAGUAAAAGUCGUAACAAGGUUUCCGUAGU
rnacentral:rRNA from 1 species